CAUAUCCAAAAUGAGACGAUGUGAACAUGUAGUGCAUGUUUCAUUCAUACUCGAAGCCGGAGGGCGCUCUCGCACAGAAAGUCCAAAAUGGCCUAGUAGAAGUAAUAAAUAACGGGGAUAUG